rnacentral:rRNA from 1 species
GUGCCAGCCGCGGCGGUAAUACGUAGGUGGCAAGCGUUGUCCGGAUUUAUUGGGCGUAAAGCGAGCGCAGGCGGUUUCUUAAGUCUGAUGUGAAAGCCCCCGGCUCAACCGGGGAGGGUCAUUGGAAACUGGGAAACUUGAGUGCAGAAGAGGAGAGUGGAAUUCCAUGUGUAGCGGUGAAAUGCGUAGAUAUAUGGAGGAACACCAGUGGCGAAAGGCGGCUCUCUGGUCUGUAACUGACGCUGAGGCUCGAAAGCGUGGGGAGCAAACAGGAUUAGAUACCCUGGUAGUCCACGCCGUAAACGAUGAGUGCUAAGUGUUGGAGGGUUUCCGCCCUUCAGUGCUGCAGCUAACGCAUUAAGCACUCCGCCUGGGGAGUACGACCGCAAGGUUGAAACUCAAAGGAA